CGGGGGGAGCAAGCGUUGUCCGGAAUUACUAGGCGUAAAGGGCAAGUAGGCGGAAUUGUAAGUCAGAUGUUAAAGGCACCGGCUCAACCGGUGUACGGCAUUUGAUACUGUGAUUCUAGAGUAAGGUGGGGGAAGAUGGAAUUCCUGGUGUAGCGGUGGAAUGCGCAGAUAUCAGGAAGAACACCAGAGGCGAAGGCGAUCUUCUAUACCAUUACUGACGCUAAAUUGCGAAGGUGUGGGUAUCAAACAGGAUUAGAUACCCGAGUAGUCC
rnacentral:rRNA from 1 species